ensembl:lncRNA
CAGUAAUAUUUCAGUGACUGCUGCUUAUACCACAGGUUAAUACACUCUACUGAUCCCUGAUAGGAGAAUCAUCAAUUUUGCCAGCAAAGAAGCCUGGUGGAUGUUUGUUUACAGUCUGAUGGUGGGACAUCAUGCUCUGCAUCUUUAAAUCUUUUUGCAGGAUCAGAAAACAAAACCGGGAGGCGCGUAAAUGUUUCUUCUCCAUGAUGUUUCUUCAAAUGUUUCUUCUGGAUGAUGAUAUGACCGUGACACGGGAUGCCACCUUUGGUCUUGUGACGAAGCAAAGCUCAGGAAGAAGUGUGAUUAAAUGGUACCCACAUGUGUGCUGCUGAGAAGGAUGUACAGGGGCACCUGCAGCCAAAUCCAAGCUUCAGGUUAGUUCGGCUGUUUGUGCUCACAGAUGGUGACGGUGUGGAGAGACGGUGGUGUUUCCUCAGAAGCACCAGCUGAGUCACAAAGGACACCAGUCCAUCUCACCACCUUGACUUGCUGACUGAUGUUCGUCUACACUGCACAGAGGAAAUCAACUGACCGAGGAGUGUUUCUGAGUGAGGGGGAGAGGAGUCAUCAUCCAGGUAAAGUGACGUGGAUCAGUGGAUACACUUGUCUCCCCUUUAAAGGAGACGAUCCAAGUCAUCCUUAAAUGUUAGUGCUUUCAAAUACACAAACAUUUUUAAAGGACAAAAAUGAACAUCCAACUUUGAGUGUAAUACAAAAUAAAUCUUUGCAUCUGUGUUUUCAAACUCUCAGAUGGGCAGCAUAUCAGUCUUGGACUGUCUAACCUGCCGGAGCAGCACUGAAUGACCACCACACAUGAGCAUGUUCCUGCAACAUUCAGCAUCUGAUCUGUCAUCUGUGUACUUCUGCUUUUGGUAAGUACAGCUACAGUACCUCUAAACACAUGCCACCCAUUUCUUUUCUUUUUUCUUUUUUUUUUCUGCCUGUCCCGUUUGGUUCUUUUGCCAUCAGAAUUAUUCUCUAAAGGCGAAGAAAGAUGCCCAACGGAUUUACUUUACCAAAUUAACCAUCCCAGCCUUGCCGUAAUGGUCUAUUUGGUAUACCUUUUAUUGUUUAUUUUAUUUAUUUUUUAUUUUCACUUGCUAGAUACAGGACAGACUUGAAUGAGGAAAAGAAAAGGGAGAAAGGAAGAGGGGGAAAAACAGCGGAGAAGAGGGACGGGAAUAAAGAGCAAAAAAACAAAAAACAACUAAAUAAGCAGACAAAAAAAAAAAUACAUACAAUACAAUAACCUAGAUCACCUGUUGAGAAAGAAAAAAGAAAAACAGCAGAAGAAAAAGAGAGCAAUACAAUAAACAACAUCACGAUGAUAUAUGUGAAUAUAACAGUAAAUACUAAAUAUUAAACAUUAUUGUGCACCACAUAAUAUCGACAGCGCAGAGUGUGCUUUGAGGUAGGAGCCAAAAAGGGUGUAGUUUGUGUGUGUGAACACCCGUGUGUACACCUGUGAGCAUGGACGUGCUUUUUAAAAGGUUCCUUCAUGUAAUGAUCUGCUAGAGCAGGGGUGUCAAACUCAAAUACACAGUGGGCCAAAAUUCAAAACUGGAACAAAGUCGCGGGCUAACAUUAAUAUAAAAAAAAAAAUCUUCCUCCAUUCAUGAGAAUGAAUCUUUUCUUAUAGACUCAAACAAGUUUUGCUGAAAAACUGAAUAUGGAACAAGCAAAGCUUAAUACUAAACUAUAUAUAUUAGCUAUUAGAGGUCAGCUCUAAUAGUAAU